ensembl:lncRNA
UUUAUUUCCAAAUGUGUCAAGCCAAUCUGGCAUAUACUACUUGAGUUUGGAAACUAUAAUAAACUUUAUAGUUAAUCUUUAUAAGACUUAGGAAUAUCUGAAGUAUUCAUGAUAGGUGGUCUCUUCUAGAAGUUAAAAUAUUUAUAGUUUUAAAAAAUAGAAGAUUAUGACUAUCAUCUUAUGUUUUUUCUCUUCUUCUGAAGUUUAUGAGACACUUCUUAACCAAGAACCAGAGCCUAAGGGGCAGAGGAAAAAAGUAGAAAUACUUUUAUUCGAAGAUAAAGAUGGUGAGCAUCAACAAAGAGAAUAUUUGAGGCUUUUAAACUCUCGUCUACCUGCCAGAUCUUAUUACAUGCGUCAGAUCUUAAGCAACAUGAAGCACUAAUGCUCGAAGCAGCCACGCCUGCCCUGCUUCUGAGUUUAAUAGGAAUGCCUUGGGUGAUUCACUGUUUAGUAAGAUGUUGGCCAUGUGUUUGUAUAAUUAUUAUGGUAUGAAAGAAGAAUCUUUUAGUCCUAGUUCUCCCUGAGGAUUUUUUUUUAAUUUGUGAAUUUAUUUUAGGUGUAAUUUGAUUCCCUUUAAGCCACUAUUAAAAAGUGGGUGCUACUGACAUCGUUGGUGUUUUUUUUUUCCCUAAUCUGAGCUAUUUAUUGAAAUUGUAUUGAGGUAUGGUUGAUUUACAGUAUGUUCCAUCCUCUGAUUUCAAUAAUGACCAUCUCAGGGACAACUUUAUUCUCUUGGUACCUCAUUCACAGGCUCACUCAUUGUCCCCUCUCCUCCAUUAUUUUGAACAAAUGCCAUCGUAAUUUUAUCUAUAGCUCUUUUAGCUUUUAUCUCUAAAAUACAAAGACUCUAAAAGCUAAAGAGAAUAUUACUGUUCACCUAAAACAGUAACAAUAAUUUCUUACUACCAUCAAAUAUCUAUUUAUUCUUCACCUUUCCCCAAUUAUCUGCUACAUGUUUAUGAUUUGAGUCCAUACUUUACGAUUGGUUAAGUUUCCUACAUUUUUUUUUUGAAUAUAUAUUUCUCCCUCCAACACUGUUUGCCUUGAACUUUCUAACAUAUAAUUUCUUAUUUGCCUUUUCUUGAUUAUAUUUGCUUGAAAUUUAGUUAUUUUUUUUCUCAUUUCUAUAUUUGCUCCUUUCCCCCUGUUUUCUUGAUUAUAUUUGUCUAGAGUUUAUCUAUUAUAUAUAUGUUUUUAAGAAUCAGAUACAUAACAUUGCUAUGUUUUAAGUGGAUAACCAAGAACCUACUGGAUAACCUGUGGAAUGCUGCUCAAUGCUAUGUGGCAGCCUGGAUGGGAUAGGAGUUUGAGAGAGAGUGGAUACACGUAUAGGUACGGG